rnacentral:lncRNA from 1 species
GCUUUCAAGAGAGACACUGCAAACAACCACAUCUAUUCACAGAGGGAGAGUGACAUUUCUUCUUUCUUUGAGGGACAAGUGCCUGCCUCGUUACUUUCUGCCCCUGACAUUGUAGCUGCUGGUGAAUGUGUGGAGACAGGAAGUGCUUACUUGGCACAGAGGUCCUGUGACUAGUGCUAUUGUCCAGCUGGAUGGAUGGUUCUCUUUCAGCCUCUCCAAGACACCCUGAGUUCCUUUGCUCUCCUGUCUCUCUCACCAUCUGAUGUUCUGUAUCUUUUGGGAACUCUCCCACCAAGAAACCAAUCACCAGAUGCAGCCUGACACUGGAUGAGAACCGUGGAGAAAUUGAAGCUUAUAGAAACUAGCUCGGCAUACCUGUCUAGUGUUUUGCUUCAGGACCAGUUUUGCCCUUGAUUAUCGCAUGAUGGGAUAGAUGGACUGUUUGAGAUCUGUAAGCAUUCUAGAGUGCACUUGAUGAGGAAGUGAGUAUCUGUCACUGUAUUAUGUAGCUUAUUUGACCAUCUGUCAAGGUCAUGUAUCAGAGAAGACUGGAAAAGACUUGGAUGAGAAACCUCUAAUGUCUUCUAUCAACUUUAAAACUUUAAUUUAUUGUCUAGACACAUGCUGAGGUGACAGAAUGAUAUGGUCCUUCCCCUUUCUUGGUAUUUUCCUUGUUUUCUUUUCCUUUAAAGCAGAUGGUUUUUAUGGUGCUGACUGCCUCAGGAGAAAGACACUCAGCAAUCAGAAAUCUUCCUUCCUUCAGCUUUUCUGUUGCAAAAUGUCAGUACUUUCAAGGGAAAACGGGGAGCUUAUGGCAUAGACAAAACAUGCAAGCAGAAGAUCAAAGCAGUUUCUGGACAAAUAUGAUAAUGUACUUGGACUUUUGAGAAAAUACUGCUGACCUUGAGUUCAAUGAAUGGGGCAUGGAGAACUUAGUGUCGAGCAAGGUGCCUCCCACUCUAGGGAUAGAGGCACCUUACUAGUUAAGUAAGUCACAUGGAGGAAAGCUGAUUUGAAAACGAGGUGAGGGUCUUGAGAAUACAAAACAUAUCUGUUCAGAUAAAACCCUGGGAGACAUUAAAUCUCAGCAUGACAUGGUCUGGUGGGACUAUCCAGGGCACACAGGGAGAAAGAGUAUCAGAAAAUGCCAGGGUACAAGAGACAUUCCCUACUUGGAUGUGUUGUCUCAAGAUAGAAAUUAUUCAAAAGGUGAUAAUAAUGGCUCAGAAUUUUAUUCUGAGACCUGAAGGCUAAUCAAGCCACUGUUUGAAGAUUUCAUUUCACCUUGUCACCUUGCUUAUUUCCUGCCAUCCCCCAUUAAUUGAAAUCUAAACACACUUUGCUCCAAUGAGGAUUGUUUAAGGUAAAUGUUUUGAAUAGUCCAACUCUGUCCUUCAUAGGGUUAACUUGCUCAUUUUGAGAGAUCAUCCUCAUCUAUUCCCAUCAAUUAUUUUAAACACCCAAAAGAGCACCAAACAAACUAACAAAAGCAAAAUCCUCAAGAAAUACUUUCUUAUAUUUGAGUCUGACAUGAAUGGAUCUCUUCUGUCUCCCUGAAGAGUGGAGAAGUGGUAGGUACCAUCGUUCCAAUCCCCUUUCUAAUGCCAUUCUUUACCCAUAGCUUGGACAGAUAGUCUCAUAGCAAGUGGGCUUCUUCUGAAGCAGUAUUAUAGAGUGAGAGAUUUAAGAGGAAAUGGCCUGUGAAUGAUAGAGAACAAGUAAGAGAGACAGGCAGGGGGAAGCUCACUUCAAAAGAGCAGUUUGAUGCUUCAGCGAGGAGACACAGAAUGAGGGUUAGGUGGAGGGAUUCUGGAAUUCUCUGAAGUUCUGAACAAAGGUUGAGCAUGAGGCUCAGCAACGGCAGAGUGUUGGGCUUCCUGACGAAGAAAAUAGCCCUUCGAACAGCAUCACUGUGCUCAGUGAUAAGCUUGGCGAAGCCCGGGAGAGGAUAUUGACAGGAGGUUGGGCUUGGUCCUGAGGGACCUGUAACUGCAGGAUAUCCACCAGAAGACUUCCUCAAAUCAGGUGCUGUUCUUGGAAGAGGAUUGGAGUGGUACACCACCAUGGCUUUCAAAGUUACCGCUGUUUACUUUUAAGCUAUAAUUCUUAUGUUUUUAUGGAUAUUGAUUUAGACUGGUUUCAUAAUUUCUCAAGAUGAAAAAUUGUAAAAUGGUUUGGGAAGAGAAAUAUAAAUAAGACUUGCCUGACUUAAAUUAUCUAAAUAAUGAGACAAAUAAGCAAAGCAAAGACAGAUGUCUGACCACAGGCUAGCAUCUGACAUUCACCUGGCAUAGGCCUUUAUGUGGUGAUAUUCAGAAAUGCAGACCUCAGUAUCUGUGUUCAGCAUGCUGUUUGUAAGCAAGUUAUCUUCUGAGAAGCUCUACCCAGCUGUUGACUCAGACAGAUACAGACUCCCACAGCCAAACAGUGGAUGGAGCUUAGAGACUCUUAUGGAAGAAUAGGAGGAAGGAUUGCAGGCAUGGAAACGGACAGGAAUUCCACAGGAAGAGCAAGAAAGACAACUAACCUGGACUCUCAGAGUCUGAACCACCAACUGAAGAACAUUCACGGGCUGGACCUAUGCCUCUCCACACAUACAUAGCAGAUGUGCAGCUUGGUCUUCAUGUGGGUCUCCCAACAACUGGAGCAGGGCAAAAGCUGUUGCCUUUAGGUGGGAUAUGUUCUUCUAGCU